GAACGCACCUUGCGCUCCUUGGCAUUCCGAGGAGCAUGCCUGUUUGAGUGUCGUUGAAUUCUCAGAACCCUCCUCACAGGUGGGUUUGGAUUGGUGGAGGAUGCAUUGGACUUUGCUUUGCUUCUCUGAAAUGGAUUGGCCUUACGGCUGCGAUUCACGAACCUAGUCGUCGGUAUGAUAAUGUCUUACCUGCUUCUAACCCGUGCCAGCCUGGCCCAGACGAGACGAUCGUCUCUAUCUAUCUACAAUUUGACCUCAAAUCAGGCAGGACUACCCGCUGAACUUAAG
rnacentral:misc_RNA from 1 species